UAAACCAAAGCAAAUGGCUAAGACACCUAAAUUCAUGUAGCAGAAAAAGAAAAUCUACCAGUACAACAACCAGCAACAUAAAAAAGUUCUUUUCAUCGACGAAUUCAUUCUCCACAACAAAUCUGGAUCUAGACCUAGAACAAAAUCCAAAUAAACCAAAUGAUGGUGGUUUAACAGAGAACUUUUUAAACAAUAGUGAGUGUAGUGAACAAAGCAACCAUAGUUUCAAAGUUAACUCGGGGCCGAAAACGAAUUUUCACGUCGGCAUAGACAAAGAAAAAGAGGAUAAUAUAUCCCAUUUGGACUCCAAAGACAACAUAUCUGACCCAGUCACUUCAACUGGUUUACAUGAAAUCGUUCACCCUGUGUGGCAAGCCAAUCGAUUUGAUAUUGGGAUCACAAACCGAAAUUUGCUAGAUGACACCACGAAAAAAAAUG